UAGACUUCGAUUAAUGUCCUC
rnacentral:piRNA from 1 species